rnacentral:misc_RNA from 1 species
UUCGUUUCUACAUUUUUCUGUGUCCGCAUUUCCAUUUCCAUGCUAUAGGGAUUAAUAAGAUCACAUUCCAUUAUUAUAAAUUCAAACCACCACCACUUAAGGUUAAGGCAAACAGAAACACAAGUUGGCACAGGAGGAGAGACUAAAGAUGACCAUUCUCUGAGACAUUCCAUGCUUGGAGAAACCCAAAAAUCUUUAUAUGCACGAGAGAAGUAGAGGAGAAAGACAUUGAGAUUAGUGGAAACCAUGGCUAUGGUCUCUCUUGCAUUACCCAAUUUGAAAUGGACAAGAAGGAGGAAAUUUAGAGGGAGACGGAGGAGAACAGAGAUGGCUAAACAACAAGUUAAUGGAAAUGUGAUGAUUUGUGUCCUAAGAUAGAGGCGAAGUGGGUGGAGAAGAAAAAGUAAGAAUAUGUCUUGGUCUCGGCCACACCAUAAAAGGAUUCUCUUCAUGUUCAGCCACAUGAAACAGAUGGGAAUACAGGUGGAGAGGAGGAGAAGAAGAGUUCUUUGAACAGUUCAUUUCCUGUACACUUUCACAUCCAUCCAAGAAAACAAAAGGUCUUUGGAUUAAAGAAGAAUUCCCCUUGUAUAUAUAUACAAUGUCUUAAAGCUUAUCUGAUUGUCAUCGUCUAAUUUUAAAAUUUCUUCAAAUUCACAGUACACAGUGAAUGCCCAACUGUUAUUAGGCAUGGAGCUCCAUUGACUACUGUCCAAUAUCGAGAUCUAUCAUUUCCAGCUGAAGUCACUGCAAAAUAUUUUAAUAUAAAAUAUAUAAAUGACAACAUAACAUGCCUAUUUCGGUAUUUUCCAGCAUAAAACUCCAAUUAAUAUUAUACAGGGAUAGAUUAUUAAGGAUUCUAAAACAUAGAAAUUAAAGAUUCUUGAAAAAUUCAAAUGCUAAGGAAAUAAAUCUUCAAAAAAAAAUAAUGGCUUUAUAAUCAGUACUGUAAUUAUGACGUACUCAAAGAUCUGCAUCAGUAAGAGAUAACAAAACUAGAAUUUGCAAAAAUAUGUUUUCCAAACAUUAAAAACCGCAUUAUCCAUCCCCACGGAAAAAAGAAGGAAAAUUAUUGACACUUGACAUUCUAAACUAUGGGGCCACCAAAGGAAGACGUUGAUAAAUCCCUGCCAAAGUUCUGACCUUGAGAGUAUUGCAUAUAAACCACCUUUUUCAUUUUGAUGAUCAAAGCUGAUCAUUUGGAGCUUGUUCAUGAACCCUAACUGCUGCAGGCUUCAUAUUCAGAUCAAUCAUUUUAUUCUCCAUCCUGCCAUGCCCAUCAGAAUUAGCUUCAGCUGGCAUCAGAUGAUUUUGUUGAUUUUGUCCUUUCUUCUUCUCAGCUGGACCCAUCAUUCCUGCUUGUGAAGUUGUUGGGUCAGCUGCAUCCUUUGGAAACUACAGAGAACAAGCAAAGCAGUGGACAUCACAAUAAGGGAUAUUUCACAAGAAAUGGAAGAAAUUACAGAAUUAUGCAAGAUCCGUCUACUAACAAAUUAAGAACGAACCUUAACUUGUUGUCUGAAUAAAAGAUACCUUCCAUGUGUUCUUUUACCUCCAACAUGAACAGUCACAUCACAUUGCAAACAAAGAGAACUUCCAUCUACCUCACAGUAGAAGAAAGCUACAAAUUUGCAUUUAUUCCCAAAAAGAGAUCAGAGAAACAUACAAAUUUGAAACCCCUUUCCAGAAACACCAAAUUAAGCAAUGUUUUAAGCUUCACAGAGAGAAUUAUGCAUAUGAAAAAGAAGUAAACUGCUUAAAUUACCGGGUGCAUUUUCACAUAUAUCACAACGGGGAACAUCACUGGGGUUUGCCAGACCAACUCUCACAUGUCGGCUAGCAAGCUUAUUACACAUGUGGACCUUCUCGUCGCAAGCAUGGCAAAGAGCAGCCUCAUCGGCGGCGCAGAAGACUAUAGCGGCAGCACUCUCACAAGCGUCACAAAGGGUUCGCAUAAUUAAUAUUAAUCUCUCCGACUGAAGAUCUCAUUUCUCCAAUAAUCCAAAAACAAGAAAAAGAAGAAGAUUCAUGUCGAGCAUGAAAGGAGGUAGCAAGAAGAGCGAAACCUGUAAAGGAUAAAAAAUGCACGCACCAGAACAAGACACAGGUCACCAAAUAUACACAGAAAUGAUUAGAUUUGUGAUGGGUAUGUGUUCUCAUAGAUUAACGUUUCAAUUCUUUGUUGUGGUCGUUGUUGAUGGUGGGUAGAGGAAGCUGACGAUAGAUAGAGACUGCUGAUUAGCUAGCGAAUGAGGAUAAAGGGGAAGGUGUAGG